AAUGGGGUACAGUGCCUUUUUUUUGCCUGUGCCAGACGCGCAACUGCGCAACCCCCAGUGCAACAAUUGAUCGCCAGAUCGAUCUACAGCGAAAACUGGCACGUCAGACAUGAUCCAAUCGAGUCUGGGACCAGCACGGAUCAUCUACUGCGCGUGUGGGGUCCUAGCAAUGUUCCCUGUCUGGGAUUUCUCGUGUGGACACCAAUUCUGUACAGUGUACUUGCACUUGAGACAGCCAAGAGAGGCGCAAAAGAUGAACCCUGGAUUUGGACUUACCCUUGCACUUCCUACCAUGAUAGAGGAAGUCUGGCGUUCAGUUUUUGUCGCAAAAACAGUUGGAAAACAAGAAACUAACACUACUUGCUCUUUUGCUAUUAUUGCUAUAGACACUUGGCGGUCUCAGCACUAUACAAGUCAUCUAUAGUGUCCACCUGUUGGUCGGCCCGAAUCGAAGCAUUUUCAUAAGACACGAGCGGGAGUCGUGGAAUCUCCUCAACUCAACUCUACUUGGAUCAAACUUGACAAUACGAGUUUUAGGAGGGGUUUGGAUGACUAAUGGCUCUCGUUGGUGGCGAUAGUCUUAGUCAGCUGUUCGUACUGUGAUGUAUGGACGUUCUGGCGUCCUGGGAACGUCCUGAGAACGUUAGGAUCGGUGGGUCUGGACAGAUUCUGGCUGUUGUUUACGCCUACAACACUUUUACAUUAUUCUCAGCCUAAUUACUCCUGCCGACAACAGCCCCGAAGCCUGUACCGGUUCAGGAACGACUCUCGUGCUGGAUAAAAGGACUCGAAGUACUUCCCCCACUCGCUCUGAGCAUUUAUCGUGCCCUGGCAUCUCCUACUACUCCGUAUAUCAGCUGUUGGGGCAAAUGACAGAAGAUAAAUCUCGCCCAAAUCACCACUUCUCUGUAUUAUUCCACCGCUCGUACCCUACUCCUACUGUACCACGUCUCCACUGGUGCGCCAUUUCUUUUUCCUGUCCCAAACCCCCGCUGAUUGUCACACUAUUGACUAAACCACAUGAUAAUUGUCACCAAAGUGAUGAUAAAAUCAUUCCAAACUCGGCUGUUUUACUCGCAAUCACGUGGCACGGAUAUGACACGAGUUAACUCUCUGUUUUCUGAUUACGUACUCUUAAGGUCGGGUCCGUGGGAAGUGCAGAAAUCAUCUGAAUGGAAUAAAAAUGGUACUUAUGAGGUCCUCUGACAUGGGGCUUUCGAAUGGUGUAGUCCCCGUCUCCAUAUCUUGUCGCUACACCAAUCUCGUACCACAUGAGCCGCGGAAAAGCAACCCGAGCUUCAGAGUAGCUUUCCAGAAUGCAAGAGUAUCAGUUAAUUGCACCACUUGCCCCGAAUUGCUCUAUAUUUGCAAAAAAAGAGACAUCAACGUCCUCGUGAGAUACAAUGACCCGUUGUAUUCAAGUCGGAGCGCUCAUAUAUGACCCCUGGUAACAUAUCGGGGCCGUGCAAGUAGAUGGACUUUCAGAUCAACUGAGCCUAUGCUGGACGACCCAAUUGGGUCUAUCAACUCCGAUCUUGUCUUGCUCACGUGCACAAGGGUAGCGAGCAACUGUCGUUCACCUUCAUACCGCCUGACUAUGCGGUUAUACGGUUAGGCGUGAUGGUUAAUACGACGGUACGGCUUGAGAGGUAGUAUGAUAGUGGUACGAUAUGAGUGGGGUAAUGUGUGGUGAGUGGCAGUUGAUACGGUUGAUUGGGGUUAAUUGGGGUUAAUUGGGGUUAAUAGGGGUUCACAUGGCGGAACAGGGCCCUACUGCUGAACAAGAUCUCUAACGACCCCAAGUUCGCGGAACAGCGAUCUACUAGUGCUGUACCCACCUCACCCCACAACGAACUCCACUGUGUGGAUAGCCUUCUACCACUACACACAAGCGAGGUUGCUGGUUGUACGACGAUUCCAAUAGCCUUGGUAUACUAGUGCGAUCGGACUUGUUCCUUGUAAGUGGUAAUCAUGUCCAGUGGCAGCGUCUUGUGUGUGCGUCUUGUGUCUGUCUGUAUGCGUGUCUCCGUUUCAUUAAAAAUCUUAUCAAGAUA
rnacentral:misc_RNA from 1 species